rnacentral:misc_RNA from 1 species
UCUUGGUCAUUUAGAGGAAGUAAAAGUCGUAACAAGGUUUCCGUAGGUGAACCUGCGGAAGGAUCAUUAACGAGUGUUGGUCGCCCCCGCGGUGGCCGCCUCCCAUCCCAUGCCUUCCAUUUACACGCUUCGCUUCGGUGGGGAGACUCGCCGGCGUGCCAGCAGAACCCGUAACUGAACGGUGCCGUCCGAGGAUUUGUGGCGAAUUCGACGAAAACUUUCAACAACGGAUCUCUUGGUUCUGGCAACGAUGAAGAACGCAGCGAAAUGCGAUAAGUAAUGUGAAUUGCAGAAUUUAGUGAAUCAUCGAAUCUUUGAACGCACAUUGCGCCCUCCGGCAUUCCGGGGGGCACACCUGUUCGAGCGCCAUUUCAACCCUCAAGCCCCGCUUGGUGUUGGGCGGGGCCCCGCGGAAGGGGCCCGCCCGAAAGUGUUAGGCGCCACCGCCCAACCGCCCGCGUAGCAGGCUCGGUGAGCAC